rnacentral:rRNA from 1 species
GAUGAACGCUGGCGGCGUGCCUAAUACAUGCAAGUCGAGCGAACGGACGAGAAGCUUGCUCCUCUGACGUUAGCGGCGGACGGGUGAGUAACACGUGGAUAACCUACCUAUAAGACUGGGAUAACUUCGGGAAACCGGAGCUAAUACCGGAUAAUAUUUUGAACCGCAUGGUUCAAUAGUGAAAGACGGUCUUGCUGUCACUUAUAGAUGGAUCCGCGCUGCAUUAGCUAGUUGGUAAGGUAACGGCUUACCAAGGCAACGAUGCGUAGCCGACCUGAGAGGGUGAUCGGCCACACUGGAACUGAGACACGGUCCAGACUCCUACGGGAGGCAGCAGUAGGGAAUCUUCCGCAAUGGGCGAAAGCCUGACGGAGCAACGCCGCGUGAGUGAUGAAGGUCUUCGGAUCGUAAAACUCUGUUAUUAGGGAAGAACAAAUGUGUAAGUAACUAUGCACAUCUUGACGGUACCUAAUCAGAAAGCCACGGCUAACUACGUG